rnacentral:rRNA from 1 species
CGUAGGGUGCAAGCGUUAAUCGGAAUUACUGGGCGUAAAGCGUGCGCAGGCGGUUAUGUAAGACAGUUGUGAAAUCCCCGGGCUCAACCUGGGAAUUGCAUUUGUGACUGCAUAGCUAGAGUACGGUAGAGGGGGAUGGAAUUCCGCGUGUAGCAGUGAAAUGCGUAGAUAUGCGGAGGAACACCGAUGGCGAAGGCAAUCCCCUGGACCUGUACUGACGCUCAUGCACGAAAGCGUGGGGAGCAAACAGGAUUAGAUACCCUGGUAGUCCACGCCCUAAACGAUGUCAACUGGUUGUUGGGUCUUCACUGACUCAGUAACGAAGCUAACGCGUGAAGUUGACCGCCUGGGGAGUACGGCCGCAAGGUUG